rnacentral:lncRNA from 1 species
AUUAGGGAGGCAUAUCUCCCAAAACAUAAAGAGGUUGACAGGAUUGAUCAACAAAAGCUCAUCAGUGACUGUCUUUUUAGCUUAGAGCGUGAGCAACAGCAUUCUGAGGUCUUUUCACCAAAUUAAACUUGGUGACCCGCAGCUCUUGCCUCCAUUGAACUAUAUCAUAAACCACAUUUUGGAUAAGAGAAGGGGAAUAACUAGUGGAUAUGGCAUCCAGCAAUCGCUUGCAGUCUCCUUCAAUAAUGAUGUUACUGUAAUCUCAGUUACGGGCUAGGAUAACAGUCUCCUCCAAUAAUGAUGUUACUGUAAUCUCAGUUACGGGCUAGGAUAACUGCUUCACGGUAAGUCAUACUUUCAAGUACCAAAGGAUCGUGGAUGUUAUUACUUUGCAUUUCAGAUGGAUUCUGAAUGGUUUCUUGCCACCACUGCUGUGAAUCCUUUUCUCUUAUUUUGGUCAAUUGCAGCAUCAAAGUUUAUUUUGAUCCAGUUCGAGGAGGGGAUUCCCACUGAGCAGUAUAGUUUUCAAGAGAGGAGCUCGGGGAGUAUAGAUCCAUUUUGGCAUUAUUAUAGGAGCUCGGAGAUUAUGAUAGCCUUGUUGUUGAUAAUCAUGACUUCAUGUAUAAAGUGGCUUGUCCGC